GGACGCCGUCAGUCUCACCGUCCGCCCGGCUCCGGGCGCAGCCGGUGCGCUGUUCCCAGGCCCCGCGGCGCGCGGGAGCUGCGCGUCCAGGAGGGGCCCGGACGCCCUUCUUGGGGAGGGGGCUGCGGGGCGCAUCAUGAGCGGCGCUGGGCGAGCUCGAGGGCCGGGCAGCCUACCUGGACCCCGGCUUCUAGAGAGCCGUCGCCGUCCUUGUCGAGACUCGCUUUCGCCCCUCUGAGGAAUAAGUUAAAAACCGCGAGUCUGGUUCUGAGCCGCCCCCUGGCGCAGGCGCGACCCCACCCGGCCCUCCCGUCUCCCAACUUGGGACAGACGCGGCGGCCGGGCGGUCGGAUCCGUGAGCCUCGGCCGCUGGGGCUACAUACACAGCCCAGGACGCCACAGAAUCGCCGAGGCCCCGCGAACGCCCAAACGGCCGCAAGUCGAAGUGAUCCCAUCUGAAGAAGACAGCGCGAGGAAGCGAGACCCUGCUGUGUGCCGGCCCCCGGAGGGCGCCCCGGGCCCUGUGGGUCGGAGGGUGGGGAAGCACAGAGAAACACGCAGGCAGUAAAACGUUAGGAGGACAGGGGGUGCCAGCGUGCAGGAAAUGCUGCUAAGAGACCUUUAGGAGCCAAGGGGAAAACGGAGAGAUUGGCAGUUCCAGGCACCCACAUCCCAGCGCGGUCCGCUCACCCCUUCCUCCCUGCCCUCCAGGCAGCGCUCAGCCCACGGUAGAAAUGUCUUGCAUCUUUUUUCCGACGAGGAAGAAUUGAACUUUUUAUACCCAACUUUUCUGCUUUCUUAGAAAUGUUGACUCACCUGUGAGGAAGCAUUAUUUGAAACUAUUAUUGUAAAUUGCUUGACAUUUGAAUUAGAUGCUGAAAGAUUAAAGGGUCUCAGAAGAAUCUUUUAAGCUAGACUGGAAUUGACUCUGCCUAAAUGGACAGCAACAGUCAUCUAUACGCAGGAAUAAUAAAGCAGGUCCUGAGUGAGCCCCUUUGCUGUGCAGAACAAUGGUGAUACAUACAGGCGAGAGCAAAACCCACGAGGUGUCCACCUCACGGCCGACCACAAGAGAUCCUCAAGAGACACAUCUCAGGAAUGAUUCUGAACCUUCUUCACCAAAUAAAAUAUUCCAGAAAUAGUAUUAGAUUUAAUGUGUGUGUCCCUCCUUGCUGGUCUUCCUAGCAGCAGCCUUCUUGUUUCUUGCCUUUUUAGGCAAACAGCCUGAAACUUAGCACAGACGGUGGAAUUGCAGCACCUAUGAAGAUAUCACUGCAUCCUUUUUGCCUCAGGACAUCUUACUGAAAAUCAUUCUAUGUUAAAGCUAUACAUUUUGCUGAAAUUUUGAAGACAAACAUCAAUGGUGAAUUAUAAACUUGUAUUUGCCUAAAGGCUAGUGUGAACUUAUCACUUUCGCCUUCCCCCAGGCCAAGAUUUUCCCUCCCCUUGUUGCCCAAGCCUCACUUUCUAU
rnacentral:lncRNA from 1 species